rnacentral:lncRNA from 1 species
AUUUCAUCCCAAUAUUUCCAAAUUCACCUGAAGAAUUAUAUUACAUCACUGAACACGUCCACCAUUGCUGCCACCGUAGAAGUUCUGGUUCCCCAGCUGCUCGCCUCCGGGCAGUGUAAACGAGGGUGAUGGAUCAGCACCUGCACCCGGCCACCGUUGCCCUGGAGGUUCAGCCUGCUGCUCUUGCCCCCAUCCGACGAUGCCGUCCUGAGACAGUG